UGCUUGGUGGUCCAGUGUUUAGGACUCGGCGCUUUCACUGCCAUGGGCCCAGGUUCAAUCCCUGGUAGAUCUA
rnacentral:tRNA from 1 species